rnacentral:lncRNA from 1 species
UUUGCUAUCUUUUAUAUUUUGUUAGGUCAACUAAUUCUUACUUAGUUUCUUUUGUAGGGAUCUGAAGAUAAUCUUGGCUAAGUUGGGGAGAGAAUCAAUUUUGAAAAAGAUUUUUGGAUCAGGUGCCAUCUCUCUUUUUUUUUCUUUUUGCAUGCACCCUUCAUUUUUUCUACUCCAUUGAAGACAAUGUCGAUUAAGUUGGGGGGGA